UGAUCUGCGAAAAAUGUCAAGUUUUUCCGUGGAACUGCUGAACUUCGGUUGUAGACCUCAGAACCAUUUCUUUUUCUGCAGGGCAGUGUAGAAAGAAGCAUCUGUUGCCUUUUUACCUACUUGUUCCUUUUUUGUAUUGUGUGAAAUUAUUAUGGCAUUUGGUAUUUAAAUGCUAACUCUUACUGAGGGAUCUAAUUUCUGUUGUCCACCUUAGGAACUAGUCACCUUAGCAUGUUUUUUGUGGAAUUUAUCUUACAGGAAAAGAGAGGGAGCUUUCCAUGUCUGCUGGACCAACCAUUUUGGUUGGUUCUAAAAUGUUACUCUCCUGCUCUAACGUUUAUUUUCAAACACAAAUCUGUCUCAUUUGUCUCUACUGUGAGGGUGGUGAGACACUGGAACAGGUUGCCCAGAGAAGUUGUGGAUCCCCCCUCUCUGAAAGUGCUCAAGGCCACGCUGAAUUGGGCUUUGAGCAACCUGGUCCAGUGGAAGGUGUCUCUGCCCAUUGCAGGGAGUUAGAAUUAGGUGAUCUUUAAGGUCCCUUCUAACCCAAACCAUUCUAUGGUUCAUUUGUUCUUUAAGUUAGUUGUAAAUCCCUUAUGUUCAUUAGAUAUCUGAACAGAAUGAAUAUGGCCUGAACGGGAGAUGAUACGAGUGAGAAACUUCAGCUUUAGUGUGGAAACAUACCCUAGUCUGUUGUGUUAUUUGGGGAUUACCAUAAUCUUCAUAUUAGACACAUGUUGCAAUUUCUCAGAUUUAUUAAAAUUAUUUUUAUUAAAAGGUUAAGCAAAACAAUGUUGGGAUGAAGCUGAGGUGACAGUGAAGACCAAAAUACAGUUUGAAGAGCUCAGUGUAAUAAGCAAUGUAACACUGGACGUAAAAAGACUUGCUUUGGUUGUCCUGCAGAUGUGCUGGAUUGGCCUCCCUAAUGACUUGCAGUGUGUCCCUCUGAAUAAGGAGACAUCUGAAAUUUUAUGUCUUUUGUUGAGAAUGACAUGAGACAUGAGAAAUGAGAAAAUUUUCAAGAGUGGGUGAGUUUGACUUUUGUAACAAUCAAUUCUCUUUCACUCUAUUCAGGCAUCAGCUCUGUGGCUUUGGGCUGAACAGUUAAAUCUUAAUGUUUGGAGGGGUGUGAUACCCUUCCCUCUCAGAAUGGCUUAUAAACAGCAACCAUUUUUUAAAUAAAGUAAGUAGUAGCCUUAGCAACACAUUGUUUCUGUGCAAACAUUCUUCUCAAAAUAAUUGCCCUCAAAAUCAUCAGCUCUUAAAAAGAGAAGAAAGCUGGAUCUUUUGACAACCAGAACCUGGAACACAUGUAGUCUACAGACUGCUCCCGUGUUGCUCUUGUGUUUGUAGAGUGGUAUUUCGACCAUUAGAUCUUCAUAAACAUGUAGCAAAACCUUCCACAAAUAAGGUAAUUUCUCCAAAUAACUGUAAAAACAUUUUAGCCUACCUGUCUCUUUAAUUUAGAGUAAGUUCUAGUAUUUGGAAGGCAUGUAUUUGAGAGGAUGUUUUGUUUUGUUAGGGUUGUUCCAGCAGGCAAUGCCUUUUUUUUUUUUGUUUGUAUGGUUUUUUUUAACUCAAAAAAGCAUGUUGGUGAGGUGCAAAAGUUAGUAUUUGAACCAUGGUUUUCCACCAGUAUCUUUUUUAAUCUGUCUUCAGAAUAUACUGAUUUGACUCUCAUCCAGAUUUACCUAACAUAUUACAAAGUUGGGACAGGGAAGUAGCUCAGGUUUUGAUUAGUUUUACAUAAGGUUUACCAAACCUGAAGACUUUUUUCAGAAAAUACUGAAGCAUUCUACCAGAGUUUACAUUCAUUAAUAUUUUUCCUGUUGUAAGCAGAGUUAGUAUCAACUACCUUUUGUCUACUUAUCUUCAAAGUUUGCUUCCCUCAUGGAUUUUACUUUUAAGAAUAGUAAUUGCCCUGGGAAUUAUUCUGAUGGUCUUGCACUAUAACUUUUAAUGGGUUCUUUUUGUGGGUGAAAAUUAGUUGUCUGCAUUUUUAUUGGAGGAGAUGGCCAUAGUUUAUAGGAAUGGAAAUGUGGAAAAGAAUUAUCAUGCUUUGCAAACAAUUAAAUUGUGUUGAAUACGAAUAUAAUAGGAAGGGAACAGAGACAAAUAGAAGUUGGGUAUCUAAAGCAUCUUUUUUCCCCAAAAAAUUUUAGUGUUUAUGUAUUAAAGUUUCAACAAAGUAAAGAGACACAAGAAUAUAAUUUAUCUAUCCUGCAUCUGAUGCUGUAUCCAAAAAUUUCUGUGCUCGUAAUAAGAAUUAUUUGUGAUUUAUUACAGUAUUCAGAAGCUGUCAAAAUGAAGGCAUUUAAGAAAUGUAAAUGUUGAGAUUUUUAUCUUUGAAACAUGAAAUUAAUGUUUUCUGAUUAAAGCAUAGAUAAACCAUUGUCCCCUUACUGGAUUGUAUUUCUUGUGUAGGAGAUAUGUUCGUGAGGCCCAAAAUAAGGGAUGGUUGAAAAGAAAGGCCCUUCAUAACAGAGUCUUGCUGGGAUUUUUCAGAAACUGUUCAAUUCAGCUGUUCAACUGUGCUUUUUGAGAGUAUUCUAUGCAGCACUUUGAGAACUGAUGUAUAUCACAGACAGGUGUCAAUGCACAUGCAGGUGGCUCUCAGCCGGAGCACAGUGUCCCAUCAUUUCUUUUCCUGGAUAAGUUUUCAUCUUUCCA